CAGGACCCUGGGAUCAUAACCUGAGCUGAAGGCAGACGCUUAACGACUGAGCCACCCAGGCGCCCUCUUCAUGUAUUCUGAUUGUACUUUAUGAAUAAUGAAGACUUGCAUUUUAAGAACCAACAGCAGCAAAAACAGCUUGGCUCUUGAGGAAGAGUCCUGAGACAAGGCAAAGAGUGUAAGAAAUACUGACAAAUAACUGCGUCUGAUCUCAUCUUAGGCAACAAACUUACAGACAGCUCUACACCUGAUCUAUUCAUCUGUGAAUCAGGCUGUGUAAGAAUAGGCUACCGUUAAAGGUAGCAACUCCUAAAUCUCAGCACCUUAAACCAACAGAGGUUUGUCAUUCAUUCAUGUUACACCAGAGUCAAAUAAGAAGGCUGCUAAAGGUGGCACUUUCGGGAACAUUGCCGGCAGCUGUGCCAGAGCUGAAAGAGAGCAUGGAGUAUCCCAUACCAGGAAUUAAAUUCUCCAGCCCAGACGUGACACACAACACUCCCACCUCACUGGUCAGAACUAGUUAUCUAGCUCCAUUCAACCACAAAGAGGCUGUAAAACUCUACAGAAAGCAUAAGGCAAGAAGCUGGAAACAUCGUGAAAGCACAAACACUAUCACGGAGUAGUCGGAUAUAUAAAAAGCAUGCUAGAAAUUAUCAAGUGGCUUCCAAGAGCAGUCUCCCUGCAUUUUCAGUAACUGCAUUUUCAGUAUUCUAAGUAAAGGGCAGGAAGGAGUUGAUAACUCGUUCACCCAUGAUUCAGUGUUUCUCAGUUGCAUAUUCUGCCUGAAUAGAGAGGAAACUUCUUUUACCUCUAACAGAUCAACAUUACAUCUCCAAGUAAAAGGAAUGUACAGAAAGUAAGUUGGUGUUAUACAUUUUCUUGAACAAUUUAGAAGAACUUUUCGUUAAUUUUUACCAAAAAAAAAAAAAAGUUCCGGAUACUGUAAAUCCGUGUACACAUUUUUACUUGGUUGCAGAUAUACUCAUCAACCAUUUCUUUGUUCCUAACUGGCACAUGUUAGUAGAUUCUACCGUAAAUCAGCUCUUAACGGUCACGAA